AGGUCCUGCACUCCUCCAGGGAAGGCUGCAUACCUUAGGAUUGCUCCUGCCUGGCCCUGAAGCACUGUGGCUUGUGAAGGGUGGAAACUUAAGUCACUGGGAUGCCUCAGAAUCUUAUCACUAAUGUCUAGAUACAGUGGAUUCUUGAUACUUGAGACAACUUGGACCUAGGAAGCGACUGGAAGAACUCAAUAAAUCACAAAAUUGGAGCAGGUGACAAUUUCUCAAGGUGGAAAAUCAUUUAGGUGUAAAAUCUAUUGUCUUAGAUUGUUCCACUCAUCCUUGUAUCCCUCCCUUAAUACUUUUGGAAAGAGAAUUAUUUUGCAGUAAGCCUUUUUUCAUUAAGUUUUGAUUCUUUCUAAAAUAUGCUAGCUAAUUUGUUUUAUAACAUGAAUAUUUUAAUAUUUUAGACAAUAGUAAAUUGUUUAUGACUAAU
rnacentral:lncRNA from 1 species